rnacentral:rRNA from 1 species
UUUGGAUAUGGCUCAGGAUGAACGCUAGCGGGAGGCCUAACACAUGCAAGCCGAGCGGUAGGUUUCCUUCGGGAGACUGAGAGCGGCGCACGGGUGCGGAACACGUGUGCAACCUGCCUUUAUCAGGGGGAUAGCCUUUCGAAAGGAAGAUUAAUACCCCAUAACAUUUUGAAUGGCAUCAUUUAAAAUUGAAAACUCCGGUGGAUAAAGAUGGGCACGCGCAGGAUUAGAUAGUUGGUAGGGUAACGGCCUACCAAGUCAACGAUCCUUAGGGGGCCUGAGAGGGUGAUCCCCCACACUGGUACUGAGACACGGACCAGACUCCUACGGGAGGCAGCAGUGAGGAAUAUUGGACAAUGGGUGAGAGCCUGAUCCAGCCAUCCCGCGUGAAGGACGACGGCCCUAUGGGUUGUAAACUUCUUUUGUAUAGGGAUAAACCUACUCUCGUGAGAGUAGCUGAAGGUACUAUACGAAUAAGCACCGGCUAACUCCGUGCCAGCAGCCGCGGUAAUACGGAGGGUGCAAGCGUUAUCCGGAUUUAUUGGGUUUAAAGGGUCCGUAGGCUGAUUUGUAAGUCAGUGGUGAAAUCUCACAGCUUAACUGUGAAACUGCCAUUGAUACUGCAAGUCUUGAGUGUUGUUGAAGUAGCUGGAAUAAGUAGUGUAGCGGUGAAAUGCAUAGAUAUUACUUAGAACACCAAUUGCGAAGGCAGGUUACUAAGCAACAACUGACGCUGAUGGACGAAAGCGUGGGGAGCGAACAGGAUUAGAUACCCUGGUAGUCCACGCCGUAAACGAUGCUAACUCGUUUUUGGG